rnacentral:rRNA from 1 species
GACGAACGCUGGCGGCGUGCUUAACACAUGCAAGUCGAACGGAAAGGCCUCUUUCGGGGGGCACUCGAGUGGCGAACGGGUGAGUAACACGUGAGUAACCUGCCCUUGACUUUGGGAUAACUUCAGGAAACUGGGGCUAAUACCGGAUAGGAGCUCCUGCUGCAUGGGGGGGGUUGGAAAGUUUCGGCGGUUGGGGGUGGACUCGCGGCUUAUCAGCUUGUUGGUGGGGUAGUGGCUUACCAAGGCUUUGACGGGUAGCCGGCCUGAGAGGGUGACCGGCCACAUUGGGACUGAGAUACGGCCCAGACUCCUACGGGAGGCAGCAGUGGGGAAUAUUGCACAAUGGGUGGAAGCCUGAUGCAGCAACGCCGGGGGCGGGAUGACGGCCUUCGGGUUGUAAACCGCUUUCGCUCAUGACGAAGCUUUGUGUGACGGUAGUGGGUAAAGAAGCACCGGCUAACUACGUG